UACGAGGGGGCAAGCGUUGUUCGGAAUUAUUGGGCGUAAAGGGCGCGUAGGCGGUGCGGUAAGUCACCUGUGAAAACUCUGGGCUCAACUCAGAGCCUGCAGGCGAAACUGCCGUGCUUGAGUGUGGGAGAGGUGCGUGGAAUUCCCGGUGUAGCGGUGAAAUGCGUAGAUAUCGAAGGAGGAACACCUGCGGUGUGAGACGGCUUACUGGACGGUAACUGACGCUGAGGCACGAAAGCGUGGGUAGCAAACAGG
rnacentral:rRNA from 1 species